GCCGGGGGAGACGGGACGGGACGGGACGGGACGGGACGGUUGGGCAUGGAGCGGGGCGCCGAGCCGGGCCCGGAGCUGGGCGCAGUGCUGGAGGCCGUGGAGGGGCGCGGCGGCAGCGCCGAGGCGGUGGAGAGCGUCCUGGCGUGGUACAACGAGGAGAAUCGGGCCACUUUCAGGUUUGACCCUGCAGAUGAAGACAAAAGAAAGAAACUGUGCGAAGGAAUUCUAAACAUCCUUGAAAAAGACACAAAAACUUCAUGUCAAGUUGCAUGCCUGGAGGCCCUCCGGAUUCUCUCCCGGGACAAGAAGGUUUUAGUGCCUGUAACCACAAAGAGGAACAUGCAGAUCCUUAUGAAGCUAGCAAAGCUGGACACUGUGGAAGAUCCACUGGAGAGAGUUUCUGAAUUUCCUGUGAUAGUAGAAGCCUUAAAAUGCCUCUGUAACAUAAUUUUUAAUAGUUCAGUUGCACAGAAGCUCAGUUUGGAGCUGAAUCUUGCAGCAAUGCUCUGCAAUCUUCUGCAGAAAUGUAAGGACCGGCAGCUUGUUGAUGACAUUAAAUGCUUUGAUUUGCGUCUCCUCUUCCUCUUGUCGCUUCUGCACACAGAUAUUAGAGCACAGUUGCGUCAGGAGCUACAAGGGGUGCAGGUUUUGACUCAGGCUUUGGAGAGUUCCCUGAGUGUAAGAUGGACAGAAGAGUAUAAGGCUGCAGAAGAUCGUGACAGGCUUCCUCUUUCUUUGCAAGAGACAGAUUGUGCCAUUGAGGCACUAAAGGCUCUAUUUAAUGUAACACUUGACAGUUGGAAUGUCCACAGCAAGAAUGAAUCUCAUCAAUUUCGUUAUAUGGCUGCCAUCCUUCGACACUGCUUAUUAACCACGGGCCCUACUGAAGAAAAAACUGAAGAGUUGCACAGCAAUGCAGUCAACCUCUUAAGCAAUGUUCCUGUUUCUUGCUUGGAUGUUCUUAUUAAUCCAUCGUCCCAAGAGGAAACAGAUAUAAAAUACAAUGGUAUGAAUAUGGGAGCUAUUCAAAUUUUACUGGAUUUCAUGGAGAAGAGAAUAGACAAGGGAAGCAGCUACAGAGAAGGUCUGACUCCAGUUCUUAGUUUAUUAACUGAAUGCUGCCGAACUCACAGGAAUAUCAGGAAGUUUAUCAAAGCUCAGGUACUGCCCCCAUUAAGAGAUGUCUCAAACCGUCCUGAAGUUGGCACAACAGUGAGGAACAAACUCGUGCGCCUUAUGACACAUGUUGACCUUGGAGUAAAGCAAAUUGCAGCUGAAUUUCUUUUUGUUCUAUGUAAAGAGAGAGUUGAUAGCUUGUUGAAAUACACAGGCUAUGGUAACGCAGCAGGAUUGCUGGCAGCCAGGGGCCUGCUUGCAGGAGGAAGAGGAGAUCAUUGGUACUCAGAUGAUGAGGAUACAGACACGGAAGAAUACAAAUCUGCAAAGCCAAACAUUAACCUUAUCACUGGUCACUUAGAAGAACCAAUGCCCAAUCCAAUGGAUGAAAUGACAGAAGAACAAAAAGAAUAUGAAGCUAUGAAGCUUGUCAACAUGUUUGAUAAACUUUCCAGAACAUCUUGUUAGCCACCUGAAGUCAGUGUUGUGUGAUAUUCUGUCCAUAUAAUAGAUUAUUGGAGAUACUCCGUGUUAAUUAAAAUGUCUGGAAAAAAUGCUAACAUUUUUUCUAUUAUAAAUGAGAUGAGCUCAUAAAGCCAAUGGGAGUGCGGCCGGAUGGGACAAUGGCUCCUUUGGAGGAAGCAGUCAGCCAGUACCAUACCAGCAAGCAAGAGAGCUCAGAUUCAGACUAAGGCAUCGCCUGCUUUAUUCUCAAUUCUCCUCUAAUCCACACUUCUCCUUAGAGCCACAUCUUUUUAUCCUCACAUUAGCCAGCAUCACUUUACUGUUCUAUUAUUGGCAUAUUUAAAUGAUGGGUCCUGUGGUGUAAUGUCUGAAUUUUUAUUAUGUCUGUUUAGAGAACAAAUCAAUUAAUUAGUUUAUGAUCUUUAUUAAUUUAAAAUUAAAUGUGUUUCAAAAGGAUAAAAAGUGAAAGCCUGCAGUGUAAAAUAAAGUCCACUUUCAUUUUCCAGAAUCCUGUUUUCUGAACUCUGUAGGUUUUCCCAUUCUUGAUAACCUUUUGUAUUGUCUUGCCAGUCUUCCUCUUUAUGUAAUUGUAUUAAUGAAGUGUGUUUACUUAAUGGCAUUAGGAGCAGAGGGUGUUUAGACUUAGAAGUCUGAUUGACCUUGUGAGGCUGCUUUAGCUGGCAUUGAGCAGUGAUUUCAAAGGUUCCGUUUUUGAAGUGCCCUGGGGUUUCUUACUGCUACAAACUUCUCCAGUUAAGCUGCUGCAUAAGAUUUUAACAAUGUGUCAGUGACAGACUGCUUCUGAAACUGCCUUUAAAUUGGGAAACAAGAUGAUGGAUUUUUUAUGUCUUCCCUCCCUCCCUGGUUAAGACCACACGAAUAUAUCUCCUCCUCCCCUCUUUGGUUGAGUGAAAACAUCCCUAUUGAAAAUGGUGUUCAAGAAUUCACUUAAGUGAUGCCGUGAAUGGGAGGGGACUGGAGUGCAUGUGCCAGUGUUUCACUGAAUUGGGGCCUACUUUUGGAGAUUAACUGCUAUGCCUCAUUUGAAGGGAAGUCAAACUAAUCAACAAAGAAAUAUUUCCUCUUAGAGAGAACUUGGGAAGCAAUGGAAUAGAGAAUGGUUGGGUGGAAAGGAGAAGAAAGCGUCACUUUCAAUUCUGUACUCUUUAAAAACAAAGAUUAAAGUUUUAGGCGUGCUGCA